AUUGAACGCUGGCGGCAGGCCUAACACAUGCAAGUCGAGCGAGCGGCGGACGGGUGAGUAAUGUCUGGGAAACUGCCCGAUGGAGGGGGAUAACACUUGGAAACGGUAGCUAAUACCGCAUACCAUCAGAUGUGGCCAGAUGGGAUUAUCGCGUUGGUGGGGUAACGGCUCACCUAGGCGACGAUCCCUAGCUGGUCUGAGAGGAUGACCAGCCACACUGGAACUGAGACACGGUCCAGACUCCUACGGGAGGCAGCAGUGGGGAAUAUUGGACAAUGGGCGCAAGCCUGAUGCAGCCAUGCCGCGUGUGUGAAGAAGGCCUUCGGGUUGUAAAGCACUUUCGGCGGGGAGGCGUUACCCGCAGAAGAAGCACCGGCUAACUCCGUGCCAGCAGCCGCGGUAAUUC
rnacentral:rRNA from 1 species